rnacentral:rRNA from 1 species
CGCGUGGGAACAUGCCCUUCUCUAAGGAAUAGCCACUGGAAACGGUGAGUAAUACCUUAUACGCCCUUCGGGGGAAAGAUUUAUCGGAGAAGGAUUGGCCCGCGUUAGAUUAGAUAGUUGGUGGGGUAACGGCCUACCAAGUCGACGAUCUAUAGCUGGUUUGAGAGGAUGAUCAGCAACACUGGGACUGAGACACGGCCCAGACUCCUACGGGAGGCAGCAGUGGGGAAUCUUAGACAAUGGGCGCAAGCCUGAUCUAGCGAUGCCGCGUGAGUGAUGAAGGCCUUAGGGUCGUAAAGC